rnacentral:rRNA from 1 species
AGUGAACGCUGGCGGUAGGCCUAACACAUGCAAGUCGAACGGCAGCACAGUAAGAGCUUGCUCUUACGGGUGGCGAGUGGCGGACGGGUGAGGAAUACAUCGGAAUCUACUUUUUCGUGGGGGAUAACGUAGGGAAACUUACGCUAAUACCGCAUACGACCUACGGGUGAAAGCAGGGGAUCUUCGGACCUUGCGCGAUUGAAUGAGCCGAUGUCGGAUUAGCUAGUUGGCGGGGUAAAGGCCCACCAAGGCGACGAUCCGUAGCUGGUCUGAGAGGAUGAUCCGCCACACUGGAACUGAGACACGGUCCAGACUCCUACGGGAGGCAGCAGUGGGGAAUAUUGGACAAUGGGCGCAAGCCUGAUCCAGCCAUACCGCGUGGGUGAAGAAGGCCUUCGGGUUGUAAAGCCCUUUUGUUGGGAAAGAAAAGCAGCAGGUUAAUACCCCGCUGUUCUGACGGUACCCAAAGAAUAAGCACCGGCUAACCUCGUG